AGCGGCGGACGGGUGAGUAACGCGUGGGUAACCGUGCCUCAUACAGGGGGAUAACAGUUGGAAACGGGCUGCUAAUACCGCAUAAGCGCACAGUACCGCAUGGUACGGUGUGAAAAACUCCGGUGGUAUGAGAUGGACCCGCGUCUGAUUAGGUAGUUGGUGGGGUAACGGCCUACCAAGCCGACGAUCAAUAGCCGACCUGAGAGGGUGACCGGCCACAUUGGGACUGAGACACGGCCCAG
rnacentral:rRNA from 1 species